rnacentral:rRNA from 1 species
CCUACGGGAGGCAGCAGUGAGGAAUAUUGGUCAAUGGGCGGAAGCCUGAACCAGCCAAGUCGCGUGAGGGAUUAAGGCCCUGCGGGUCGUAAACCUCUUUUGCCGGGGAGCAGAGGUCCGGACGUGUCCGGGCCGGGAGAGUACCCGGAGAAAAAGCAUCGGCUAACUCCGUGCCAGCAGCCGCGGUAAUACGGAGGAUGCGAGCUGUAUCCGGAUGUAUUGGGUGAAAGGGGUGCGUAGGCGGGCAUUUAAGCCGGCGGUCAAAUGUCGGGGCUCAACCCCGACCGGCCGUCGGAACUGGGUGCCUUGAGUGGUCUAGAAGGAUGCAGAAUGCGUGGUGUAGCGGUGACAUGCAU